rnacentral:rRNA from 1 species
UACGUAGGGGGCAAGCGUUGUCCGGAAUUAUUGGGCGUAAAGAGCGUGUAGGCGGUCCGGUAAGUCCGCUGUGAAAGUCCAGGGCUCAACCCUGGAAUGCCGGUGGAUACUGCCGGGCUAGAGUCCGGAAGAGGCGAGUGGAAUUCCUGGUGUAGCGGUGAAAUGCGCAGAUAUCAGGAGGAACACCAAUGGCGAAGGCAGCUCGCUGGGACGUGACUGACGCUGAGACGCGAAAGCGUGGGGAGCAAACAGG